GGAAUAUUGCACAAUGGGCGAAAGCCUGAUGCAGCGACGCCGCGUGAGGGAUGACGGCCUUCGGGUUGUAAACCUCUUUCAGUAGGGAACAAGGCCAGCAUUUUUGUUGGUUGAGGGUACUUGCAGAAGAAGCGCCGGCUAACUACGUGCCAGCAGCCGCGGUAAUACGUAGGGCGCAAGCGUUAUCCGGAAUUAUUGGGCGUAAAGAGCUCGUAGGCGGUUUGUCGCGUCUGCCGUGAAAGUCCGGGGCUCAACUCCGGAUCUGCGGUGGGUACGGGCAGACUAGAGUGAUGUAGGGGAGACUGGAAUUCCUGGUGUAGCGGUGAAAUGCGCAGAUAUCAGGAGGAACACCGAUGGCGAAGGCAGGUCUCUGGGCAUUAACUGACGCUGAGGAGCGAAAGCAUGGGGAGCGAACAGGAUUAGAUACCCGGG
rnacentral:rRNA from 1 species